UCUCAGAGAGGUUCUGAGGUUAUCACAAGGGGCUCCAAAGUCACUGGAGGUGUGUAGGAGAACAUGGUGACCCCAUAGAACAUCUCAGAAUUGGACUGAGGUUGUCAGGAGGGGUUCCAAAGUCACUGGAGGUCUGUAGGACAGCAUGGUGACCCCACAGAACAUCUCCAGGAGGUGCUGAGGUUGUCACAAGGGGCUCCAAAGUCACUGGAGGUCUGUAGGACACUGUGGUGACUCCAUAAAACAUCUCAGAGUUGGACUGAGGACAUCAUGAGGAGCUUCAAAGUCACUGGACGUCUGUAGGACAGUAUGGUGACCCCAUAGAACAUCUCAGAGAGGUUCUGAGGUUGUCAGGAGGGGCUCCAAAGUCACUGGAGGUCUGUAGGACACUGUGGUGACCCCAUAGAACAUCUCAGAGUUGGACUGAGGACAUCACGAGGAGCUUCAAAGUCACUGGAGGUCUGUAGGAGAACAUGGUGACCCCAUAGAACAUCUCAGAGUUUGACUGAGGUGAUUGUGAGGGCCUCCAUAGUCACUGGAGGUCUCUAGGACAACGUGGUGACUCCAUAAAACAUCUCAGAGUUGGACUGAGGACAUCAUGAGGGGCUUCAAAGUCACUGGAGGUCUGUAGGAUAAGGUGGUGACUCCAUAGAACAUCUCAAAGAGGUUCUGAGGUGAUUGUGAGGGGCUCCAAAGUCACUGGAGGUCUGUAGGACAACAUGGUGACCCCAUAGAACAUCUCAAAGAGGUUCUGAGGUUGUCACAAGAGGCUCCAAAGUCACUGGAGGUCUGUAGGACACUGUGGGGACACCAUAAAACGUCACCAUGGGGUCACCUUGGGGACCUUUGGUCACUGUCAGGGUCUGUAGGACAAUGUGGGGACACCAUAAAACGUCACCAUGGGGUCACCAUGGAGACCCUUUGGUCACUGCCAGGGUCUGUAGGACAACGUGGGGACACCAUAAAAUGUCACCAUGAGGUCAC